rnacentral:siRNA from 1 species
UGGGCUUAGAUGAUGAGC